rnacentral:snRNA from 2 species
UGUUUUCGGAAAUAUAUCCAUAACAUUAGAAUGACUCAGAAAAAAUUAACCUGUGCAAAGAUGACACGCAUAAAUCAAGAAAUGCUCCAAAUUUUU